rnacentral:rRNA from 1 species
AUGAACGCUAGCGGUGCGCCUAACACAUGCAAGUCGAGCGCCCUCACUUUGGGAACAAUUAGUUUGUUCCCAGUGUGAGGGAGCGGCGAACGGGUGAGUAACACGUUGGAACCUACCCCAGACUCAGGGAUAGCCCGCCGAAAGGUGGAUUAAUACCGGAUAGUCUCGUAAGAGUAAAGCUUUUGCGGUCUGGGAGGGGCCUGCGGCCUAUCAGCUAGUUGGUAAGGUAAUGGCUUACCAAGGCUAUGACGGGUAACUGGUGUGAGAGCAUGACCAGUCACAAUGGAACUGAGACACGGUCCAUACUCCUACGGGAGGCAGCAGUGAGGAAUCUUCCGCAAUGGGCGAAAGCCUGACGGAGCGACACCGCGUGGAGGACGAAGGCCUUUUGGUUGUAAACUCCUUUUCUGGGGGAAUAAAUGAUGAAUGUACCCCAGGAAUAAGCACCGGCUAACUACGU